rnacentral:lncRNA from 1 species
UUGAUUAGGAUUUGAUUAGGAUUUGUUUAGAAUUUGGUUAGGAUUUUUUUAGAAUUUAGUUAGGAUUUAUUUAGGAUUUAUUUAGAAUUUAUUUAAGAUUUGAUUAAAAUUUGUUUAAGAUUUGGUUAGGAUUUGUUUAGGAUUUGAGUAGGAUUUAUUUAAGAUUUUAUUAGUAUUUAUUUGGGAUUUGUUUAGGAUUUAUUUAGAAUUGGUUUAGGAUUUAUUUAGGAUUUGUUUAGGAUUUGAUUAGGAUUUAUUUAGAAUUAGACUAGAAUUUGGUUAAUAUUUAUUUAGGAUUUAUUAAGAUUUGAUUAGGAUUUUCAUUUUAAUA